GGUCAAAGCUUAAGAUCCUUCUUAUAAAUUGCUUGUGUUCCAGAGUUUUGGGCAGCAUGGGAGGGAGCUCAUAACUACGGAGCUUGCGUUGCGGAUUCUUUCCAUUUUAAGUGAAGAGGAAUUCUUAUCCAGUGCAUACCCACUUAAUUUAAAUAACACGCUUGAUAGGCUUGUCAUAAAGGUUGUUCCAAUGGAGAAUGUGAAUGGGCGUAAACUUGUAGAAGCAGGGGAUCUCUGUGAAAGAAGAAAUGGA
rnacentral:misc_RNA from 1 species